GACGUAGGGGGCGAGCGUUGUCCGGAUUUAUUGGGCGUAAAGAGCUCGUAGGCGGUCUGUCGCGUCGAUCGUGAAAACUUGGGGCUUAACCCUGAGCUUGCGGUCGAUACGGGCAUGACUGGAGUUCGGCAGGGGAGACUGGAAUUCCUGGUGUAGCGGUGAAAUGCGCAGAUAUCAGGAGGAACACCGGUGGCGAAGGCGGGUCUCUGGGCCGAUACUGACGCUGAGGAGCGAAAGCGUGGGGAGCGAACAGG
rnacentral:rRNA from 1 species